rnacentral:snoRNA from 1 species
GGUGAGGUGUAUCCCAAUGGGGGCUUUCGUUCUGUAGCCAUGCAUCAUUGGAAAUGCUUUAUACAAUAAUAGUGUAGUUUUGCUUUACUCACAGGACUAUUUCUUAGAUCUGUGGAAAGUAAUUAUAAGACAGAU